rnacentral:rRNA from 1 species
UACAGAGGGUGCAAGCGUUAAUCGGAAUUACUGGGCGUAAAGCGUGCGUAGUCGGUUAUUUAAGUCGGGUGUGAAAGCCCCGGGCUCAACCUGGGAAUUGCAUUCGAUACUGGAUAGCUAGAGUUCGGCAGAGGGAAGCGGAAUUUCCGGUGUAGCGGUGAAAUGCGUAGAUAUCGGAAGGAACAUCAGUGGCGAAAGCGGCUUCCUGGUCC